rnacentral:sRNA from 1 species
UCCAAAGCUUGCCUCAUCGUGGUUGGCAAUCACGAGUAGAGCGUAAAGGUAUAAGGCAAGUUAACUGUGAGACCUGCAAGUCGAACAGAGACGAAAGUCGGGCUUAGU